AAUCCUAGAGAUAGGACGUCCCCUUCGGGGGCAGAGUGACAGGUGGUGCAUGGUUGUCGUCAGCUCGUGUCGUGAGAUGUUGGGUUAAGUCCCGCAACGAGCGCAACCCUUGAUCUUAGUUGCCAGCAUUCAGUUGGGCACUCUAAGGUGACUGCCGGUGACAAACCGGAGGAAGGUGGGGAUGACGUCAAAUCAUCAUGCCCCUUAUGACCUGGGCUACACACGUGCUACAAUGGACAGAACAAAGGGCAGCG
rnacentral:rRNA from 1 species